UACGAAGGGGGCUAGCGUUGUUCGGAAUCACUGGGCGUAAAGCGCACGUAGGCGGAUUGUUAAGUCGGGGGUGAAAUCCUGAGGCUCAACCUCAGAACUGCCUUCGAUACUGGCGAUCUUGAGUCCGGAAGAGGUUGGUGGAACAGCUAGUGUAGAGGUGAAAUUCGUAGAUAUUCGCAAGAACACCGGUGGCGAAGGCGGCCAACUGGACCAUUACUGACGCUGAGGUGCGAAAGCGUGGGGAGCAAACAGG
rnacentral:rRNA from 1 species